CAAGACCUGCGCUUUUGGAGCGGCCGAUGCCUGAUUAGCUUGUUGGUAAGGUAAAAGCUUACCAAGGCUUCGAUCAGUAGCUGGUCUGAGAGGACGGCCAGCCACACUGGGACUGAGACACGGCCCAGACUCCCACGGGAGGCAGCAGUGGGGAAUUUUGGACAAUGGGGGCAACCCUGAUCCAGCCAUGCCGCGUGAGUGAAGAAGGCCUUCGGGUUGUAAAGCUCUUUCAGCCGGAACGAAACGGUUACGGUUAAUACCCGUGACUACUGACGGUACCGGAAGAAGAAGCACCGGCUAACUACGUGCCAGCAGCCGCGGUAACACGUAGGGUGCGAGCGUUAAUCGGAAUUACUGGGCGUAAAGCGUGCGCAGGUGGUUUUGUAAGUCAGAUGUGAAAGCCCCGGGCUCAACCUGGGAACU
rnacentral:rRNA from 1 species